CUUGGACUCGCAUAUGCUCAAGUACUUCCUGACUCUGAGUGGCAGCCAUCUGAUGGCUUCUCUAAUCUUUGGCGUUCUUCUGUCUUAUUCCUCCCCAUAUGCUGUUGCGAAGGAUCCAGGGCUGGAACUAAACUCUGUUUCCUCUUUCUAUGUUAACUCCUUGUAGAAUUUAAGAACGAUGGGACUUAAAAGUUUCUUGCUAUGCUCGCCUGCCCUGCUGCUCCAACCCCCUGCCCUCCAGCCCCGCAUCCUGAACAUCUACUUGAAAUAAUGGAGUCUCCGUCCUGUGGCAUUUCUUGUUUUGUUUUCUCUUGAGACAGGUUUUGCUUAGGAGCCCAGACUUGCCUGGAACUUGCUGAAUAGCCAAGAUGGGCCUUGAAUUCACUGUUGCCAUGCCGCUGCCUCCCAAGUGAUGGGAGCACAGACUUGAAGCUGGCAUGACCACAGACGCCAUUCCCAUGGCCCCUGGUGGAGGUGAGGAACACCGUAAGCACCUCAGGAGGUCUCCACGGAAGGACAUGUGAUGCUGGGCGGUGACUGCAGUGAAGCAGUAGCACGGACCCGGAUGCUUGCUUUCUUCUUCCUGCUGACCCUUCUGGACUGAGGUCUUCCUGCCUGACUCUCUGAGGAAGCCUGUUUCUACACAUUGGAUCCCGGCGGUGUGAGGCAUAGCAUAGCUGGGUUGCCAUGGCCCUGCUUGCCCCGCUGAUUAUUUCUCCUUAAUUGAGCGUAAAGAAUGUGUGGAAUGUGGAGAGACCGAGGGAAGAGGGCUGAGCAGCCCCUCAGGGAUGCGGAUUCUGGACUUUGAGAUGGGAAGAGUUGCGGAUAGCCUGCUGAACCCACAUAGACUGUGUUCAUUAUGGGUCCCCAUAUUCUUCUACACAGCAUGGCGGUGAGCCCGUGUCUCCAAGCCUUCUCUGUUCCUCACUCUCCUGUUGCCAGAGUGUUCUACGUUCAUGCCAGACUGGCUGUGACUGCCUCUCUUCCCGGUCAUCUUUCUUGAUUUAAACCCAUCUUGAUUUAAAUUCCUACUUUGCUUAUUUUGCUUAUUUUGUUUUCCAAGAUGGGGCUGUCCUGCAAUUACUAGCUUUCUAGACCAGGCUGGCCUUGAACUCACAGAGAUCCACCUGCCUCUGCUGGGAUUAAAGCCGUGCACCACCACUGUU
ensembl:lncRNA